GCGGGGUAGCUCAGCUGGUUAGAGCGCACGACUCAUAAUCGUGAGGUCGCGGGUUCGAGUCCCGCCCCCG
rnacentral:tRNA from 1 species